UGUGGCUAAGUUGUUUAGGGCGCACGGUGGAUGCCUUGGCACAAGAAGCCGAUGAAGGACGUGUGAAUCUGCGAUAAGCCUCGGGGAGUCGAUAACAGGACGUUGAUUCGAGGAUUUCCGAAUGGGGGAACCCCGCCACUUGUCAAGGGUGGUGACCUGCACCUGAAUGUAUAGGGUGUGUGGAGGGAACGAGGGGAAGUGAAACAUCUCAGUACCCUCAGGAAGAGAAAAUAACUAAUGAUUCUGUGAGUAGUGGCGAGCGAAAGCGGAUGAGACUAAACCUGUGGUGUGUGAUACCGGUGAGGGGUUGCAUCAUGGGGGUUGUGGGAGUGAUGCGUGCCAGUUCUUACCGGCUGGUGGUGUGGUGUGUUGCGGUAGGCGAAGCGCCUGGGAUGGCGUGCCGUAGAGGGUGAGAGUCCUGUAGCUGAAACCGUGGUUGCUGCAUGGUGUUGUUUCCCGAGUAGCACGAGGCCCGUGAAAUCUCGUGUGAAUCUGCCAGGACCACCUGGUAAGUCUAAA
rnacentral:rRNA from 1 species